rnacentral:rRNA from 2 species
GAACGCUGGCGGCGUGCCUAAUACAUGCAAGUCGAACGAGUUCUCGUUGAUGAUCGGUGCUUGCACCGAGAUUCAACAUGGAACGAGUGGCGGACGGGUGAGUAACACGUGGGUAACCUGCCCUUAAGUGGGGGAUAACAUUUGGAAACAGAUGCUAAUACCGCAUAGAUCCAAGAACCGCAUGGUUCUUGGCUGAAAGAUGGCGUAAGCUAUCGCUUUUGGAUGGACCCGCGGCGUAUUAGCUAGUUGGUGAGGUAAUGGCUCACCAAGGCGAUGAUACGUAGCCGAACUGAGAGGUUGAUCGGCCACAUUGGGACUGAGACACGGCCCAAACUCCUACGGGAGGCAGCAGUAGGGAAUCUUCCACAAUGGACGCAAGUCUGAUGGAGCAACGCCGCGUGAGUGAAGAAGGCUUUCGGGUCGUAAAACUCUGUUGUUGGAGAAGAAUGGUCGGCAGAGUAACUGUUGUCGGCGUGACGGUAUCCAACCAGAAAGCCACGGCUAACUACGUGCCAGCAGCCGCGGUAAUACGUAGGUGGCAAGCGUUAUCCGGAUUUAUUGGGCGUAAAGCGAGCGCAGGCGGUUUUUUAAGUCUGAUGUGAAAGCCCUCGGCUUAACCGAGGAAGCGCAUCGGAAACUGGGAAACUUGAGUGCAGAAGAGGACAGUGGAACUCCAUGUGUAGCGGUGAAAUGCGUAGAUAUAUGGAAGAACACCAGUGGCGAAGGCGGCUGUCUGGUCUGUAACUGACGCUGAGGCUCGAAAGCAUGGGUAGCGAACAGGAUUAGAUACCCUGGUAGUCCAUGCCGUAAACGAUGAAUGCUAGGUGUUGGAGGGUUUCCGCCCUUCAGUGCCGCAGCUAACGCAUUAAGCAUUCCGCCUGGGGAGUACGACCGCAAGGUUGAAACUCAAAGGAAUUGACGGGGGCCCGCACAAGCGGUGGAGCAUGUGGUUUAAUUCGAAGCAACGCGAAGAACCUUACCAGGUCUUGACAUCUUUUGAUCACCUGAGAGAUCAGGUUUCCCCUUCGGGGGCAAAAUGACAGGUGGUGCAUGGUUGUCGUCAGCUCGUGUCGUGAGAUGUUGGGUUAAGUCCCGCAACGAGCGCAACCCUUAUGACUAGUUGCCAGCAUUUAGUUGGGCACUCUAGUAAGACUGCCGGUGACAAACCGGAGGAAGGUGGGGAUGACGUCAAAUCAUCAUGCCCCUUAUGACCUGGGCUACACACGUGCUACAAUGGAUGGUACAACGAGUUGCGAGACCGCGAGGUCAAGCUAAUCUCUUAAAGCCAUUCUCAGUUCGGACUGUAGGCUGCAACUCGCCUACACGAAGUCGGAAUCGCUAGUAAUCGCGGAUCAGCACGCCGCGGUGAAUACGUUCCCGGGCCUUGUACACACCGCCCGUCACACCAUGAGAGUUUGUAACACCCGAAGCCGGUGGCGUAACCCUUUUAGGGAGCGAGCCGUCUAAGGUGGGACAAAUG